rnacentral:rRNA from 1 species
AGGUAACGGCUUACCAAGGCAACGAUGCAUAGCCGACCUGAGAGGGUGAUCGGCCACACUGGAACUGAGACACGGUCCAGACUCCUACGGGAGGCAGCAGUAGGGAAUCUUCCGCAAUGGGCGAAAGCCUGACGGAGCAACGCCGCGUGAGUGAUGAAGGUCUUCGGAUCGUAAAACUCUGUUAUUAGGGAAGAACAUAUGUGUAAGUAACUGUG